AGUGAACGCUGGCGGCAUGCCUAACACAUGCAAGUCGAGCGGCAGCACAGUAAGAGCGUGCCCUUACGGGUGGCGAGGGGCGGGCGGGUGAGAAAUAGAUCGCAAUCUACUUUUUCGGGGGGAACAACGGAGGGAAACUGACGCUACUACCGCAUACAUUCUACGGGAGGAAGCAGUGGAGCUUGGGACCUUGCCCGUCUGAAUGAGACGAUGCCGCGUUAGCUAGUUGGCGGGGUAAAGGCCCACCAAGGCGACGAUGCGUAGCUGAUCUGAGAGGAUGAUCGGCCACACUGGAACUGAGACACGGUCCAGACUCCUACGGGAGGCAGCAGUGGGGAAUCUUCGGCAAUGGGCGCAAGCCUGACCCAGCCACGCCGCGUGGGUGAAGAAGGUCUUCGGGUCGUAAAGCCCUUUUGUUGGGGAAGAACAGCAGCGUGUUAAUCCCCGGCUGUUUUGACGGUACCCAAAGAAUAAGCCCCGGCUAACUUCGUG
rnacentral:rRNA from 1 species